rnacentral:lncRNA from 1 species
GGAGUGCUAUUGUUUGUUAACACUAACAUUAAAAGCAAUUAGAAUACCUGUUCACAGUUUUUUAUUGAAUUUUCAACAAAAACAUAUAUUUGGUUUGGCUGAUUUUGUUUCUUCUCACAGUUCUUUAUAGCUAAAAUACUUCUGUUACUUUUGAUGUCAAGUAACAUGUACAGUCCCCACUGUAAAAUUAAAAUUGUGUGGUAAAAGAAAUGCUCUCUUGGAAGAAGACAUCCUGCUUCCACUCCAGGAAAUUUAAUAAAGAAGGAUAUUUUGUUUUACUGCUCUCUGUGUCAUCUUCUGAGAUCCCUGUAUCACAUCAGGAACUGGUGGCCUGGAAAUCCUGAAAGCAAUGGCAAUAUGUGACCUGCACCUGGAAAAUGAUUGUCUAAUAAGACCACUAAUGAAAUAGGUUAUCAAGUUUUCUUCAAAAAGGAAAAGGUAGAAUGAAAAAUGAAGCUAAAAGAUGAAUCAAACCUUGUAACAUAUUUAGAUAAAUCUGAUGGCAUAAGGUUACUGUGAAUAAAAAGUAGGAUAAAAAAAAAUCA